AGAGUUUGAUCCUGGCUCAGAACGAACGCUGGCGGCAGGCUUAACACAUGCAAGUUGAACGGGAUUUGUGUGGUGCUUGCACCAUAUAAUGAGAGUAGCGCACUGGUGAGUAACACGUGGGAACGUGCCUUUUAGUGGGGGAUAACAUCUGGAAACGGAUGCUAAUACCGCAUACGCCCUGAGGGGGAAAGAUUUAUUGCUAAGAGGUCGGCCCGCGGUAGAUUAGGCAGUUGGUGGGGUAAAGGCCUACCAAACCUACGAUCUAUAGCUGGUCUGAGAGGACGAUCAGCCACAUUGGAACUGAGACACGGUCCAGACUCCUACGGGAGGCAGCAGUGAGGAAUAUUGGGCAAUGGAGGCAACUCUGACCCAGCCAUGCCGCGUGAGUGAGAAGGUUUUCGAAUUGUAAAGCUCUUUCGGGUGUGAAGAUGAUGACGGUAACACCAGAAGAAGCCCCGGCAAACUUCGUGCCAGCAGCCGCGGUAAUACGAAGGGGGCGAGCGUUGUUCGGAAUUACUGGGCGUAAAGGGUGUGUAGGCGGUUAAGUAAGAUAGUGGUGAAAUGCCGGGGCUCAACCUCGGAAUUGCCAUUAUGACUAUUUAGCUAGAAUGAUGCAGAGGAUAGCGGAAUACCCAGUGUAGAGGUGAAAUUCGUAGAUAUUGGGUAGAACACCAGAGGCGAAGGCGGCUAUCUGGGCAUUUAUUGACGCUGAGGCACGAAAGCAUGGGGAUCAAACAGGAUUAGAUACCCUGGUAGUCCAUGCUGUAAACGAUGAAUGCUAGUUGUUGGAGGAAUUCAGUGACGCAGUUAACACAAUAAGCAUUCCGCCUGGGGAGUACGGUCGCAAGAUUAAAACUCAAAGGAAUUGACGGGGACCCGCACAAGCGGUGGAGCAUGUGGUUUAAUU
rnacentral:rRNA from 1 species